GUAGAAAGAUGCUGAUUGGUUGGUUUUGUUCCGGGGCGUUUACUGAUUUCAGAGAUACUGAACAUCAUUGGUCAAAUCUUUUGUCGAUACUUUAAAUUGAUUAAAAUGAAGUUGUUAGGAAAGUUUGACGAUCGGCGCUAAAAAUAAACGAGCGACACAAUCGACUUUUAUUGUGGUGGUUUUAAGUUCCGCUUCCGUUUAACCGAGCUGGAUUUAAUGGCUGGACUUUUGUCUUUAAAACGAGCCGCUGUUCGUCUAUAAAUGUCUGUUUUUACCCCUAUAAAUACAGUUUAACUGCGGCUACACAGGCUAGCUAGUUCCUGAAUGUGUCGAUAAAAACGAACCUGUGAGCUUUCAGAGACAGAACAGG